CAUAUCCAGUGUGUGAUCCCACAAGUGGGGUCUGGGGAGGGUGGGGUGUACGCAGACCUUACCUCUACCUUUGCGGGGUAGAGAGGAUGUUUCCGAUAGAUCCUCAACUCAAGAAAAGCGUUUAUCAAAACAGGUUUGAGAAAAGUAGAAAAGUAUGAGUAAAAAGCUACCCGCAAGGGUGGCCGAGUUGGUUGAGCAGGGGAUCUCCCAAAUGGGGUCUCAGGUUCGAUGGGGUCUCAGGUUCGAAACACCCUGCAUGCUUUCUCGGUCGAGCUCGUCGCACAAAGCUUGCCUAGUGCGGUUUACCUCUCCUGUAUUAUUUGCGGGCUAUUACACUAGAGCGGGGUUUACCCUGUGUGCACCCAAAGGGUAGCGGAUGUGGGUUCCUUGUCAUAAAAAAAUGCGAGUAAAAAGCUAAGAUAAAAAUCUCGAAGAAAAGAAAUGUAUCGACAACAAAAAUAGUAAAGAUAGCCAAAGUAAAGGAAACAAACAUAGUAAUAAAAUUGAAGAAUAAGGUAAAGACAUAUAAAGUGCCAAACCAUGAUCUUCCCCAGAAAAGAGAAAAACUGCUCGACUAUUUACUAAACUUCUACUCUAAUCCUAUCUAGGGUCAUGUUCUCAGUGAGCUGGAGAUGUGUCAUGUUCUGUCUAAUCACCUCUCCUCGACAGUAGACCUAUCACUGCCAACCUCUUGACCCUCAUCACUGGGGUGUCUAUGCUCCUCCUCCUUACAUGCCCAAAACAUCUCAGCCUCGCCUCCCGCAUAUUGUCUACCACUGAGGCCACUCCUACCUUGCCCCGUAGAUCCUCAACAUCAUCAACAACAACAACAACAUACCCAGUAUAAUCCCACCAUAUGGGAGCUGGGGAGGGUAGAGUGUGCAGACCUUGCCCGGUAGAUCCUCAUUCCUAUAAAAUGUUAUCUUAUCAAAUUCUUGAUAAUCUUAACCAAUAAAAUGUUAGUGCAUUCCUGCUAAAAUGUGAUUCAUCCGUCGCAGUUCCUCAAUGUGGAAAGAGAUACUUUGGAAGAGGAGAUUCUAUCGGUACUUGAUGUGCCACCCGGGAAAAUGGGAUGUGUUAUUGGUAGAAAAGGGUCCUCAAUUUUGUCAAUCAAAGAAUCAUGCAAGUAAGUCUCUCCCUUUCAUCAUUCUUGUUAGUUGGUUUAUAGCCUCGCUUGGCCAUGUUUUUGGGAAGUUAAAAGUAUUAAUUUUUUUCAAAAAAAGCGCUUAUUUUAGAGAAUUAAGGUAUUUAACCAAGCUUUUAUGGAAAAAUAUAAGUGCUUUUGAGUAGCGUAGCUUUUCCUUAGAAGCACUUUUCAAACCUUGGUCAAGCACAAAUUACUGCUCUAAUAUUGGCAAAAAUAGUUUUCAAAUUGAUUAGCCGAACACGAACUGCUAAUCUUCAAAAGUACUUUUUCGAAAAGCAAUUUUCAAAAUAAGCAGAUUUUGGAAGCUUGGUCAAAGAUGCUAUUAGUGGGUCCUGAUAUGAAACAUUUUGCGGGCGAGAAAUCCUAAUUGGUGGAUCGAAGGGAGCACCAAACAAGGUUUUCAUCAUUGGCCCCUGAAGCAGGUAAGGAAAGCAGAAGCCAUGUUGAGGGGCCGGAUGUUAUGAGAUACUUUUGACCUUUUUGCUGCACCUCGAAGCUGGAGCUUUGUGUUCAUACUACUUGAUCAUCAUGCUAAACAAAAACCUAUCUCCACUUUUGUUUUGCUAAUAUUGACCUUGAUCUUCCAUGCCAAUUCGUCUCACAUUCGAUGGGGUGCUAAAUGGAUGCAUCUUUUUGGAAGUUAAAUCUGUAUUUGCUUUACCAUUACUUGGUUUAUGCGUGAAAAUGAAAAAGAUUGUUUUAGCUCCCUAA